ACCACAGAAGGUAAUAGUCCUGUAUGUUAAACGAGAAGACUUUAGAUAUGAUCCAGAGUACCACGGGACACGUGAAACCCUGUGGGAAGCAGGAGGGACCACCCUCCAAGGCUAAAUACUACCUAGUGACCGAUAGCGUAUAGUACCGUGAGGGAAAGGUGAAAAGAACCCCGGGAGGGGAGUGAAAUAGAACCUGAAACCCUGCACUUACAAGCUGUGGAAGCACAUUUCUUGUGUGACCGCGUACUUUUUGUAGAACGGGCCAACGAGUUACGUUAAGUAGCAAGGUUAAGCACUUAAGGUGCGGAGCCGUAGCGAAAGCGAGUUUUAACUGAGCGUUCAGUUACUUGACGUAGACCCGAAACCGGGCGACCUACCCAUGAGCAGGAUGAAGCGAAAGUAAAAUUUCGUGGAGGUCCGAACCCACGGGCGUUGAAAAGCUCGGGGAUGACUUGUGGGUAGCGGUGAAAUUCCAAUCGAGCCCGGAGAUAGCUGGUUCUCCCCGAAAUAGCUUUAGGGCUAGCCUCAAGGUGAGAGAUACGGAGGUAGAGCACUG
rnacentral:rRNA from 1 species